rfam:Brachypodium distachyon strain Bd21 chromosome 3, whole genome shotgun sequence.
UUGUUACUCCCUCCGAUCCAUAUUAAUUGUCUCAAAUUUGCUCAAAUAUGGAUGUAUCUAUAUGCCUAAAAAGCGUCUAGAUACCUGUAAUAUUUCGACAAUUAAUAUGGAUCGGAGGAAGUAGGAU